rnacentral:rRNA from 1 species
UUGCAAUGAGAUUGUACUAAGGUAGCGCGAUAAUUUGUCUUUUUAUUGGGGAAUGGGAUGAAGGGUUUGACGAAGAGAAAUUGUCUCUGAAGAGAUAAGUGAAGUUUCCUUUUAAAUGAAAAGGUUUAAGUAAUAUUAAAAGACGAGAAGACCCUAUCGAGCUUGAUUAAACAAAGAAUUAAGUAUCAAAAGAAGUGUUAUUCUAACAGAUUAAGUAGAAUUUUUUUGUUAAAGUUUAGUUGGGGUAAGCUGGUUUAAAAAUAAUUAAGCCAAAAUAGGUGAAGAUCCUUUUUGAAAGAAAAUAGCAAAAGCUACCGUAGGGAUAACAGCGUAAUUUUUCUUGAGAGGCCUUAUUUAGGGAAAAGUUUGCGACCUCGAUGUUGGAUUAUA